UCUUCCCUUGCUUUGUAUGUCAGAGAGAAGAAUUGGGACAGACAGCCAGGAAAGAUUCAUUAGAGGUGCAAGGAAAAUUUAUUUGUCCCCAAAAUA